CAUGAAAAGGGGGUGGGGGAUGGGGAGGGUGCUCUGCCCUUUGCUUCUCCUGCUUCAACUUUCUCUGCAGCUUCAGUGGCAGUGCUAGAUCCUGCAGGCCUGCUGGAUUCUGCAAGCAGCUCGGGCUUGGUUCAUUUAUCAAAACUGACUGGUUUCUGUUCCCUGCCUGGCCAGAGUGAUUUUUGUUCCUUUGGCUACAGGACAGUAGAAAGGAACUAAUGGGCAGAAAAUUAGGAAAGUUGAAAAGUGUGAAGAAUGGAAGAGGCAAGGGAAGCAGAUGAUGAAAAGGGAAGUGAUGCAAAAGCAAAGAGCCCUGGGGCUGGUCAGGAAUAAAGGCAAACAGGUGGAAGGAAUAAUAAGGAGUGUGAACUAAAUAAAUAAGGGGCAGGAGAAUGCAGAGGGCUGCACCCACCCACCAGAUACACAGGAAAACUUAUCUUCACUCUUCUGGCCUCACUUUCUCCUGAGUUUUAGUCAAAAGAUAUUACUCCUUAUUGCCUCUUUCAUCUCCACAGGAGUUCAAACCUUCUCUACUGCCUGUAAAUCCAGGCAUCCCAGCCUUUCUCUCAACCCUGGUUGGACAUUAAAAUCACUUGAGGAAUAUUUUAAGAUGCUGACACCUGGGCUCCACAUCAGACCACAUAUAUAAGAGUCUCUGGAAGUGUGAGCCAGCACUGAUAUUUAUUGAGCAUCUGUCAUGACCAAGGCCAAGUGUGCUCCCAGGGUGCUUCAGGAAGCUACGACACCACCACAGGGAAAUAUGGCAGUACAUGGUGGGCGAUGUUAGAAGGAAUGUUCAAUAUUCUUCCCACUUAUGAUCAACUUAUCAACAACUGUGAUAAAUGAGACACAACUCCUUUUUAAAAAAUACAGUAGUUAUCUGUUUCUCUUCCAUUCCUUUUAACUGGGAUAUUCCAUUAUGCAACAUUUCAAUAACAUCCUUGCUCACAUUCUAAAUAAAUUUAUUUUGAUAUCAUUUGUCUUCCAAAAUACCAGUCCUGGAUAAACCCACUUAAUGAUUCUCUCCUUGCUUGUAUUCACUGUUGACAUUCCAGUAACUUUUUUCCCCCCAUAUAAUCUGACAGUCAAUUACUCAGCAGUGACUAUUUUAAACCUUUUCCAUUUUCCUGAAACUUCCAUCCCUGCUACUUUCCGCUUCUUCCUUGGUGUUAAUAGUUGACAUUACCUACUGUCUCAGAGGGAAAGUACUUGCCAUCCAUAGGGAUAGAGUAGGCACAGGUGGUUGUGGAAGUCCCAACAGGGGAUCAUAGAUAAAGAGGGAAACCUGGGAGCUGUUGGGAGACCACUGUAAAUUCAAGAAAAACGUCAGAAUAAGGCAGGCUUGCUUAACUGGUGGAGGUGCGAGAAUUGCCGCAGGUCAUUGGGUGGGGGAUGGGAUAAAGCCUGUCUUUAGAUUCAGACCAGAGCCGGAGUUUGAGGACCAACCUUCAGCUGAUUUGAAUACACACCUUACCGGAUACUAAGGAGGAGCUACUACUCCCUGAAAGGAAGAGGAGGGCCUUUCUCACCCCCCCUCCCCUUGGGUAUAAAACUGGCCCACCAGAUCCUCGGGCAGAGCUUCCCUGCCUGUCUGCUUGCCUCUUUUAGAAGCGUCCUAUCCUAACAAAUCUGAUUCUUGCCUGUCACAUUGUUUCUUGCUGAAUUCCUACUGUGUGGAGGUAUAAAGAACCUGAGCCUUGCUGAGUCCAGACACAGGGUUGUUCCCACUGGCUUCCACUGCUCAAUUUUGGGACCAAGUCAACCCAAGUCAACUGCAGAUGAAUCAACCAAGAUCAGCAGAGCCAGGCCCAGAUAAACUGGAGGACUCAGAAACCAUUGCUUUAAGUCACUUGAUUUAGUCACUAGAACAAAGAAUACCCUUGAGUUUCCUUGGAAGGGACUAUACCAGGUUCUCCUCACUAUCCAGAUGGCAGCCAAACUUCAAGGACUUAAACCUUGAAUACACAUUUUAGAGCUGAAGAAGGCUUCACCUGAUGUUUGUUUCUGUGUAAAUGCUGGAGACCUUCAAAUCAAAUCCACAAGGAAGAGAAAUAGCUGACACUGAUGUAAACUGCUUCCACCCAAAGUGACAAAGCAAGACUUCAGACUUGAACUAAACAUGAAAACCUUUCUUAUUCCCUUUCUUUCCUUUACUCUGGCAUUAGCCUUGAAAGAUAACAUCAUUAUUCAUAGCUCCCAAGCCUCUGCUAAGGAUUUAAUCUUUCAGAUGGCUGGACUUGUCAUCAAAAACUCCUGUCUGUCCAUGAUGCUAGAAUCCAUUAACAGUGCUAUCUUAGUGGGAGUGGUUUGGCCGCUGAUAGGAUUUACCUUUGUCUGUGGUGGUUACUAUUCUCCUUGGGCCUAUGAAUGUCUGGGUGGCUGCACAUAACUGGGCAAUCCCUCUUAACUUAUCUAGCUAUGCCUCUAAUUCUCACAGAAAAAUUGAGACACCUCACUCAUCAACCCACCCUGCCCUGAUUUACACUGCCAAGUUAGAAAGACCCACCAGGAAGCAUUCAUGAUUCAAAAUGAGCUCCUUUUGGUAGAUCACCGUUUCCUUCCUUAGGAGUAAAUGCAAAUGAGUAUACAAUCAAGAAUCACUCCUUAACUCUUGAAACUGCUGCAGAACUAACUGCCAAAAUAAUAGUUGCUCAACAAAAUUCCUAGACUCUCUGGCCAAAGUUAUUCUUGAUAAUAGGACAACCCUUGAUUAUCUUUUAGCUGAGAAAGGAGGUGUCUAUGCUGUGGCCAAUACCACUUGCUAUACCUGGAUUAACACUUCUGAAGAAGUUGAAACUUGGAGUUCCCGUCAUGGUGCAGUGGUUAACGAAUCCGACUAGGAACCAUGAGGUUGCGGGUUUGGUCCCUGGCCU